AUUGAGAGAGCGGCAGCGUGAUGUGUUCACAUGUGUUGGCGCUGGGUUGCCAUUGGUUACGAGGCAGUAGGAGGUGCAGCGCAGCGCUGGUGGCUGACAGUGUGAGCUCUGACCGCCGGGCCUCCUGCGCUGGGACUACUGCCCUAGUGCCCACUGGCUCUAUCAAGGGGAGAUUGCAGCAGAGCUGUGGCCGGUUUUAAAAAAAAAACUGCCACAAAUGACAGGGGGGGCACGGGCCCGAGUGCCCCCCCCCCCCUCCCCUUGAUCCGCCACUGUUGCUAGGUAUAUUCUUACUCUCCUCUCUGACUAGGUCGAUUCAUUUUUGCGAAUCUCAUGAAAAAGUCUUCCUGUGAGUUUGAACCCCCAAGUAUCAUAAACCUUUUCUAGAAAUUAUCAGAUACGCCCCUGAUGAAGUCUCUGUACAAGACGAAACGCGUUGGUUAUCCUAUCUUGUUCUGAUGUGACCUCCAAUCUGCAAUAUUGGGAGGAGGAUUUCACAAAAUAAGUAUUUGUGCAUUCAUGCUAAAUCAGACCCCCAUUGUACAUUUUAGAGGGCGGAUACAUUGAAGAUUGUCAUAUUUAUAUGACCAUCACUGUUAUUUUAUAAAUGUUAAAUAAAAUAUAUGUUUUGGAA